rnacentral:rRNA from 1 species
GACGAACGCUGGCGGCAUGCCUAACACAUGCAAGUCGAACGAACGCACGAGAAGCUUUCUUCCCUGAUUUUAGCGGCCGUCGGGUGAUUAACACGUGGAUAACAUACCUCUCAGAUUGGGAUAACAUCGGGAAACCGGAUCUAAUACCGGAUAAUAUUUUGACCCGCAUGGUUCAAAAGUUAAAUACGGUCUUUCUGUCACUUAUAGCUGGCUACGGACUGCAUUAGCUAGUUGGUAAGGUAACGGCUUACCAAGGCAACGAUGCAUAGCCGACCUGAGAGGGUGAUCGCCUACCUGGGCUGGGAGACACGGCCCAGACUCCUACGGGAGGCAGCAGUAGGGAAUCUUACGCAAUGGGCGAGAGCCGGACAUAGCAACGCCGCGUGAGUGAUGAAGGAGUUCGGAUCGUAAAACUCUGAUAUUAGGGGAGAACAUAUGUGUAUGUACCUGGGAACAUCUUGACGGUACCUGAUCAGAAAGCCACGGCUAACUACGUG